AGAGCGAACGCUGGCGGCAGGCUUAACACAUGCAAGUCGAGCGGGCGUAGCAAUACGUCAGCGGCAGACGGGUGAGUAACGCGUGGGAACAUACCUUUUGGUUCGGAACAACACAGGGAAACUUAUGCUAAUACCGGAUAAGCCCUUACGGGGAAAGAUUUAUCGCCGAAAGAUUGGCCCGCGUCUGAUUAGCUAGUUGGUGAGGUAAUGGCUCACCAAGGCGACGAUCAGUAGCUGGUCUGAGAGGAUGAUCAGCCACAUUGGGACUGAGACACGGCCCAAACUCCUACGGGAGGCAGCAGUGGGGAAUAUUGGACAAUGGGCGCAAGCCUGAUCCAGCCAUGCCGCGUGAGUGAUGAAGGCCCUAGGGUGUAAAGCUCUUUUGUGCGGGAAGAUAAUGACGGUACCGCAAGAAUAAGCCCGGCUAACUUCGUGCCAGCAGCCGC
rnacentral:rRNA from 1 species